GUGAAGAGUGGAGGUGGGGUGAUCGACGGGACAUUGGAUGAAGGAUUUGGAUGAAGAAGGUAGAGGGGAUAGAGUGGGUGAGGCAGGGAGGAAGCCCUUCCCUCUCCUCCACCACGUGCCCUACUGAAGCAGAUGGUGCCGUGUGGCUCUGCCAUGCCACCAUGCUCGCCUUCUGAGGACCGCUGCCAUAAGGAGGGAGGUUAGUAGGAGAUUUGGGGUGACAGUAUUUGGCAUGAGCUACAAAGUGAAGAUGUAGGGAGGGAGAAUGCACUCGGUGCCUUGGGCUGACACAAAGAGAAGACAAGUGGGAGAGGGCCCUGCCUGUGGCGUACUGAAGAAGGAAACGUCCAUUCUAAUAUCCUGUCUGGGGUGUAUACUCUCUCCGUCAGCCUCACGUCUAUCUGUGGAUCUGGCUGGAUCUGGUGUAGGGAGGAUGCAGCCGCGCUGAUAUCUGAUGUUCUCUCUCUUUUUGCAUUUAACAAGGCAAGGACAUGCAGCAAAUGACUAGAGAAAGGCCACACACAUCCUAUGUGGUUUAUGUAGAAAUAAAGUCAUAGACUGUGAAAGUGUUUUUGUAUAGAAAUAUAGUUUUGACCAAAUGCAAUCUAUUGUGUGAACAAACCUGAAAUAAGGGUAAAAACAGAAAUAGGAGAAUCUGAGACAAAAUUACUUAUUAAGACAGAGGAUUUUGGCAGUGUGGUAUAUGAGAAGUAAAGUGCAAAAAUAUUAAAUCAUUGAGUAUUUAUACCAAAUAAUCUGUCAGCAUUCUGAAGAUGCAUGACUUUUACACGCGGAUUGAACACAGAAUAAUUAAUUUGUCUCAAGGUCCCAGCACACUGAGUGAUUGUAAAACCAUAAUUUGCUUUCUUUUGCCAGAGUCCUAUACUGUUGGCCUACAGUAGCAACCACUAAAGCAAUAUUGAUUCAGAACAGCAGUGAGCAAACAUCACAUUUGUACAUCCAUUUUUGUGAAAACUCGACUGAUAGAGUAAAGAGUGUACCGUAUACAUGUUUUCUAUUUCAUAAGCAGUAACUUCACACA